UACCCUGUGCCUUUGUGCUCUAGGCUUCUCGAGUUACCUUAUAGAUUUGCAGGGUCGUGAUAAGGAAAUGAAAACUGAAGCUGAAAAAUAAGAUUGGAAAGCUGGAAUGUGGAAACCACGGAGGGAUUUAUAAGAAAGUAGCUAAACAGAAAUUCAAACAACCUGCAAAAAAGAAAGCAAGAAUGUAAGGCUAAAGCUCCUUGGAAUUCCAAGAUCACAGCUUACGUUUAAACGACGAUGGGAGGAUACGGUCGCCAAACGUGCUAAGCACAAGAACUACCACAAGAACACAAUGGCGAAUAAAAAGCAAAGGCUAACAUAAUAAAAGAAGAUUGUCUCUGGGAAAAAAUUUUUGAAAUGUAAAAAUAACCAUCGUUAAUCAUUCGACAUGCAGAUAAUUUUCCCUUUAAAAAGCAUUCAAAACUUUUUCUAGGAGACGGUUCGUUUGUUUCAAAUUUCUGCGUUGAUGGACACUUUUUUGACUUGUCUGCUGUAAGAGUUACAUUUUAUU